rnacentral:rRNA from 1 species
AUACGUAGGGGGCGAGCGUUGUCCGGAAUUACUGGGCGUAAAGGGUGCGUAGGUGGCCUUUUAAGUUGGAUGUGAAAUCCCCGGGCUUAACUUGGGUGGUGCAUCUAAUACUGGAGGGCUAGAGUGCAGGAGAGGGAAGCGGAAUUCCUAGUGUAGCGGUGAAAUGCGUAGAUAUUGGAAAGAACACCAGUGGCGAAGGCGGCUCACUGGCUCGGUACUGACGCUGAGGUGCGACAGCGUGGGGAGC